rnacentral:rRNA from 1 species
CGCAUCUGUGCAUGCAGCAUAUCAAUAAGCGGAGGAAAAGAAACUAACAAGGAUUCCCCUAGUAACGGCGAGUGAAGCGGGAAGAGCUCAAAUUUGAAAUCUUAAAGGGUUUCCCUUUACGAAUUGUAGUUUAAAGAAGUGUUUUCUGUUGAGGUUUUGGUAAAAGUUCUUUGGAAUAGGACAUCAUAGAGGGUGAGAAUCCCGUAUUUGACCUUUACUUUCAACUUUGUGAUACACUUUCAAAGAGUCGGAUUGUUUGGGAAUGCAGUCCAAAAUGGGUGGUAAAUUUCAUCUAAAGCUAAAUAUUGGCGAGAGACCGAUAGCGAACAAGUACCGUGAGGGAAAGAUGAAAAGAACUUUGAAAAGAGAGUUAAACAGUACGUGAAAUUGUCAAAAGGGAAGCGUUUGACACCAGUGUUGUUUUUCUGAAAAUCAAUUAAAGAACUGUUUAUGCUAAGCUGUUUAGACUUUAUCAGCUAUCUGUUUAGUUUUGAGCUUUUCUUUAAUGCACUUUUCAGUUAACAAGUCAACAUCAAUUUCUUUUGCUGUAAAAAAGCUUGAGGAAGGUGGCUUGAGAUUCGUCUUAAGUGUUUAUAGCCUCUUGCCUAUGCAGUCGGAGAGAUUGAGGUCUGCAGCGUAGAUCCUUCGGGGCUAAAUGCAUUUGUGCUAAGUUAUAGCAUUUAUAGACAACUUGUUGACUAUGAUUUGUCUUGUAGCUUACUCGCUUAUGUUAUUUUACCUACGCUUAGGAUGUUGACAGCAGUAUAGACUGU